AUGAAAGCAUCUGCUAUUAUGCAAUAAUGGGGAUAGACUCUCAGAGGAGAUUAACUGACAAUAUACAAGUCUUCAAGAAGUAAAAGAUUCAAGUGCACAUUGUCUAAAGGGAAGCAGCUUUCUUUAUUGGAAGGCUUAUCCAUGGCAACUAUGGGUGGACUGACAUCCAACGUGAUAUAUUAGCUUGUGUUUUAUGUAACAUGGGAACAUAACCAACUGUUCAAUCUUUUCUACAAGAAAAUACCAGAGAAGCUAAUGAAACUAAGUUUCAAGUCUGCAUGCAGAAACCAGUAAUUAAGAAAUACUUACAGGAGAAAAAAAGAAAUACUUACAGAAAAAAAUGCAAACUGCAAAUACAGAUUCAUUUGCCUUAUCUGCUCUGGUGGCAACUCCCUUAAGCUCCCAUAGCUUUCUGUCAUAAGAGUGUCAUGUGUACCAUGGAAAGAAACUAAAUUUAAACUAGUAAUUUCCAAGAAUAAUGCAACUUUGCCCUACAACAUGGUUAAGGGCUUCUCUCUUUCUGAACACUAGCUAGUAAUUUGUACUCCAGGAAACAUAUGAAGUUGCACAGUUUGUUUUGAGUUCCUCCAUGACAAUUUCACAUCACAACCGUCUAUUUCAUAUCACCACUCUCUAAUAAGAUUUUAGCAUAAUAAAUAUUCAAAUUUCCCUGAUUUAAAAAGAAAUGAUCAAGAUGUUGCAAUGCAUUGUGCUAAUGUUUGGAGGUUGUAAGAAAGGUUCAUCUUAUGUUUAUUCUUAAGUCCAUCCUUUAUUGCAUCUUUCUUCUAUUCUUUUUCAAUUCUGGCCCUGGUGGAUUUUUGCCCUCUCAAGUAAAUCACUUCACCAUAGCAGAUCUUUGAGGUAAAAAGAGUAAUCCACCAGUUAUCAUUAGACUUUGUGGACCUCUGAUAGUUCAGUUAUAACCACAACGAGGAUGGCUUGCUGCUGCAACCUAGGUAAUACAGAAAUAUUAAGAAAACUAACAUUUACUUUACAGUACUAGGAAGAAAUAGAGGGAACUUCUCAAAAUAGGUUCUACUGGUCCAGAAAAAGCCGAGUAAUAGCAUACUCUACAGCAUGGUUGAAUCAAAGAAUGUCCAAGUAUGAUGGCACAGGUAUCAUAUGCACAUCGACAUGCUUUCGACUUUCGUUAUGUGCCUUGCUAGAAUGCCUAUUUAUCAAACAUGCUUUGCAUUCUAUUUUGGUGCGACUUCUUUGUAUGAGCCAUUCACUUGAAUGCAACCAUUAAAAUGAACACUGUAUUUUAUGAAGGUGAACAUGGCUGAGAGACCCUUAGGAAGAUCUUGCUGAAAAAGUUUCAUGUAAUAAUGGGCAUCAAGAAAAUCAAGCAUAAAGCUAUUUACCAACUUACACUGUUUUUCCCACCCUUUCUCCACCAGGUUGAUCGUAUUGUAAUUGAACAUAUGACAAAAGAUAACACAAAAUUGUUGUUAACGGAAUGAUUAGAUUCUCUUUCUGAUUGCUUGGUCUAUUCUUCUGGAAUUCAUCUCAGAAACACUCAAGUGCUUGGUUACUGCUAGCUUAUAAAGCUAUACUUAUGUUAAUUAUACAACUAGUGAGAACCUGAGCUUCUGUUUGUCAUGUUAAUUAUACUUAUAAAGUCUUGUCUUUUCCUUUUUGUCACAGAAGAAACAAAAAGGAAAAGACAAGACUUUUGAGAUGAUGUUUCUAAUCUAUUAGAAUAUAGCUCCGACGAAAUUGCAAAAGUGAAUUGAAUAGAUUACACAAUUAGUCAUGUAAUGUCAAACACAAAAAUUGACUAUUUGAUCGAAUCGGUGAGCUUAUAUCUGAUCAAAGCAGACAAAAUUGCUCAGUCUGUGCCUCAGUUGAUUGUCAGAACUAGUUGCCUGAACAGUUGUUUUGCAGGCAUAUGUGCCUUCCAGAAGUAGCUAAAUCUCGUCAAAACAUACAAACUGUUAAUAUUACAAUAUCUGCUCAGAUUUAGUGCUCUGGGAACAGGUAACCUAUAUGCCUUGUGUUUUGAGAUUUUAAAUCAUGUUAUUGUCGUAAGAUAAUCAUCUGGAUUGUUUCUGACUUAUGGAUUUCUUUUGAACCAUGAUAUCAUCAGUCAUUAAGCCGUUGCCUGACUGUUUUAGGUUUGUGUUAUAAGCCAAACUCAUUUUUCUACACCUUACAACUCAUUCUUAAACGAUAAUGACAGAAAGCCAGCCUAGUUGAGGAGGGUUUCAUGAUCUAUAUCUGGUUGUCGCAUGAUCAUAAUUUCAUUCAUUAUACAGGCUCCACUAUCAGCAGAGAGGCUUCAAUUUCUCUUUUCUCUUUGAAGGAUAUAAAAUACUAGUUGAUUGCUUUAAAGACUAGAAGAGCGUUGCAGUAUGUUUGUGGGUUUGUCGAAGUUUAAAUUUUAACAUGUUCAAAUCUUAACACUCAAAUUAUCAGUUAUGAAAACACAUGGAAAAAAGUGAAAGGUUAAAUGAUACAUCAAAAACUGGCCAAAUAAUUUUAAAGUUUAUUGUAGCUUUAAGGUCUUCCCUGAGCAGAAUAGAAUCCGAUUUUAAUUCCGUUUUUUCAUAUUGAUGCCACACAUUUAUUGAAAGUUCCAUUUCUCACAAGGCUAAUAUAUUUUGAUCAUAUAGAUCCUGUAUGCUACCUUUAUCAAUAAGUAUAGUUUCUAUAGCAAUAAACAAUGAUUCUGGUAUUUUGAAUUGGGUCAGGUUUGAAGGUUGAUAAAAUUGUGAUAGGCGACUGAGUAAUCUGAAGGGAAGACAAGAUAAUUCCAGAAAGACUCCAGUAAUUAGUGGCACUUCCAUGAAGCAAAAUUAUAUAAAAAAAACAUUUUUCUACAAUAAAAAAUCAAUGUAAAUCAUAAAUUAAGACUGGGAAAUUUUGAUAGUAAAAACGAAAGGGCUUUUCUCUCCAAUCAACAUAAACGUACCUUUACAAAAGGAACUUUCUCGCUAUCAAGCAAACCACCACUCCAACAAAUACGUUGACAAGUGGACAUGAAAGCAGAGCCGUAUCAAGAGCGGGCUAGACGUUCAAAUCAAGAGAAACAACGCAGAAAACCAUUCUUGAUGCAACAUAACCAGGUAAAGAAAAAAAUAAAUUUGCUUGAAUCAAAAGAAAUAUACUAACACUACCAAGCAUGCGACAGCUCCAACAAAUGCAAUCUUAAAUGGAUGAAAUUUUCAGUCAUUUUGAACAAGCAAAAGAACAGUGUAACAUCAAAGGAUGAAAAAUAUCACCUCGACUGCCGAAUAUUUGGAAGCAGAGCCGUGAAACGAGCCGGGGAACGAACCCCAUUCUCCGUCUUCUCGAGGGGUCCGGACCGAGACACCCUACUCUCGAUUCCCCAUUCGCUCUCACCUCGGACCACCCCAUUCAAUCGAUUCUCUCACCCUCUCCGCCACUUUCUCGUUCUCGCACGCUCGCUUCGGCCCUAAAAGC
rnacentral:lncRNA from 1 species